rnacentral:rRNA from 1 species
GACGAACCGAGCGAACGUUGUUCGGAAUCACUGGGCUUAAAGGGCGCGUAGGCGGGCCGUCAAGUCGAGGGUGAAAGCCCCCAGCUCAACUGGGGAAGUGCCUCCGAUACUGGCGGUCUCGAGGGAGAUAGGGGCGUGCGGAACUUCCGGUGGAGCGGUGAAAUGCGUAGAUAUCGGAAGGAACACCGGUGGCGAAAGCGGCGCGCUGGAUCUCUUCUGACGCUGAGGCGCGAAAGCCAGGGGAGCGAACGGG